rnacentral:rRNA from 1 species
UGCAGAAUCCCGUGAACCAUCGAGUCUUUGAACGCAAGUUGCGCCCUAAGCCAUUUGGCCGAGGGCACGUCUGCCUGGGCGUCAAUCAUCUAUUCGUGACCCAACCUCCGCUCCCCGAAAAGGAGCUUUGGUCCCGGGUACGGAAGUUGGCCUCCCGUGCUCUUGAAGCGCGGCUGGCCUAAAACUGAGCAUCGGACUGAUGAUCUCCGAGGCACGCGGUGGUUGUUCAUUCCUCCCUCGUGACGUUGCCAAGGAGCGUCUCCCGUACGAAGCUCCACGACCCUAGAUUUACUAUCGAUGCGACCCCAGGUCAGGCGGGGCCACCCGCUGAAUUUAA